rnacentral:rRNA from 1 species
AGUGAACGCUGGCGGUAGGCCUAACACAUGCAAGUCGAACGGCAGCACAGUAAGAGCUUGCUCUUACGGGUGGCGAGUGGCGGACGGGUGAGGAAUACAUCGGAAUCUACUUUUUCGUGGGGGAUAACGUAGGGAAACUUACGCUAAUACCGCAUACGACCUACGGGUGAAAGCAGGGGAUCUUCGGACCUUGCGCGAUUGAAUGAGCCGAUGUCGGAUUAGCUAGUUGGCGGGGUAAAGGCCCACCAAGGCGACGAUCCGUAGCUGGUCUGAGAGGAUGAUCCGCCAAACUGGAACUGAGACACGGUCCAGACCCCUACGGGGGGCAGCAGUGGGGAAUUUUGGAAAAGGGGGGAAAGCCUGACCCACCCAAACCGGGGGGGUGAAGAAGGCUUUCGGGUUGUAAAGCCCUUUUGUUGGGAAAAAAAAGAAGCAGGUUAAACCCCCGUUGUUCUGACGGUCCCAAAAAAAAAAACCCCGGCAAACUUCGU